rnacentral:rRNA from 1 species
AGAGUUUGAUCAUGGCUCAGAACGAACGCUGGCGGCGUGGAUAAGACAUGCAAGUCGAACGGGAUUUUCUUUGGUAGCAAUACUAGAGAAAGUCUAGUGGCGAACGGGUGCGUAACACGUGGGCAAUCUGCCUUAAAGUGGGGGGAUAGCUCGGCGAAAGCCGAAUUAAUACCGCAUGUGAUUAGAAGGGACAUCCCUUCGAAAUCAAAGAUGGCGCAAGCUAUCGCUUUUUGAGGAGCCCGCGGCCUAUCAGCUAGUUGGUGAGGUAACGGCUCACCAAGGCUUUAACGGGUAGCUGGUCUGAGAGGACGACCAGUCACACUGGAACUGAGACACGGUCCAGACACCUACGGGUGGCAGCAGUCGAGAAUUUUUCUCAAUGGGGGAAACCCUGAAGGAGCGACGCCGCGUGGAGGAUGAAGGUCUUCGGGUUGUAAACUCCUGUCAUUUGGGAACAAGUUGCACACGUUAACUGCGUGGGCAUUGAUAGUACCAGAAGAGGAAGAGACGGCUAACUCUGUGCCAGCAGCCGCGGUAAUACAGAGGUCUCAAGCGUUGUUCGGAUUCAUUGGGCGUAAAGGGUGCGUAGGUGGCGCCAUAAGUCGGGUGUGAAAUUUCGGAGCUUAACUCCGAAACUGCAUUCGAUACUGUGGUGCUUGAGGACUGGAGAGGAGACUGGAAUUUACGGUGUAGCAGUGAAAUGCGUAGAGAUCGUAAGGAAGACCAGUGGCGAAGGCGGGUCUCUGGACAGUUCCUGACACUGAGGCACGAAGGCCAGGGGAGCAAACGGGAUUAGAUACCCUAGUAGUCC